rnacentral:rRNA from 1 species
UACGAGAGGUCCUAGCGUUAGUCGGAAUCACUGGGCUUAAAGGGUGCGUAGGCGGGCUUGUAAGUGUUUUGUGAAAUCCCACGGCUCAACCGUGGAACUGCGCCCAAAACUACCGUACUUGAGGAAGAUAGAGGUGAGCGGAACUUACAGUGGAGCGGUGAAAUGCGUUGAUAUUGUAAGGAACACCCGUGGCGAAAGCGGCUCACUGGGUCUUUUCUGACGCUGAUGCACGAAAGCUAGGGGAGCAAACGGG